rnacentral:rRNA from 1 species
AGCGAACGCUGGCGGCAGGCUUAACACAUGCAAGUCGAACGCCCCGCAUGGGGAGUGGCAGACGGGUGAGUAGCACGUGGGAACGUACCCUUUGGUUCGGAAUAACUUGGGGAAACUCAAGCUAAUACCGGAUAAGCCCUUAUGGGGAAAGGUUUACUGCCGAAGGAUCGGCCCGCGUCGGAUUAGCUAGUUGGUGAGGUAAUGGCUCACCAAGGCGACGAUCAGUAGCUGGUCUGAGAGGAUGAUCAGCCACACUGGGACUGAGACACGGCCCAGACUCCUACGGGAGGCAGCAGUGGGGAAUAUUGGACAAUGGGGGCAACCCUGAUCCAGCCAUGCCGCGUGAGUGAUGAAGGCCUUAGGGUUGUAAAGCUCUUUUACCCGGGACGAUAAUGACUGUACCGGGGGAAUAAGCCCCGGCUAACUUCGUGCCAGCAGCCGCAGUAA